rnacentral:rRNA from 1 species
GGACCCGCACAAGCGGUGGAGCAUGUGGUUUAAUUCGAUGCAACGCGAAGAACCUUACCUGGUCUUGACAUCCCGGGAACCUCGCAGAGAUGUGAGGGUGCCUUCGGGAACCCGGAGACAGGUGCUGCAUGGCUGUCGUCAGCUCGUGUCGUGAGAUGUUGGGUUAAGUCCCGCAACGAGCGCAACCCUUGUCCGUAGUUGCCAUCAUUCAGUUGGGCACUCUACGGAGACCGCCGGUGACAAAUCGGAGGAAGGUGGGGACGACGUCAAGUCAUCAUGGCCCUUAUGACCAGGGCUACACACGUGCUACAAUGGCGAGUACAGAGGGUUGCCAACCCGCGAGGGGGAGCUAAUCCCAGAAAGCUCGUCGUAGUCCAGAUCGGAGUCUGCAACUCGACUCCGUGAAGCCGGAAUCGCUAGUAAUCGCGAAUCAGCAUUGUCGCGGUGAAUACGUUCCCGGGUCUU